rnacentral:rRNA from 1 species
GACGAACGCUGGCGGCGUGCUUAACACAUGCAAGUCGAACGGAAAGGCCCUGCUUUUGUGGGGUUCUCGAGUGGCGAACGGGUGAGUAACACGUGUGUAACCUGCCCUUGACUUUGGGAUAACUUCAGGAAACUGGGGCUAAUACCGGAUAUGAGCUCCUGCUGCAUGGUGGUGGUUGGAAAGUUUCGGCGGUUGGGGAUGGACUCGCGGCUUAUCAGCUUGUUGGUGGGGUAGUGGCUUACCAAGGCUUUGACGGGUAGCCGGCCUGAGAGGGUGACCGGCCACAUUGGGACUGAGAUACGGCCCAGACUCCUACGGGAGGCAGCAGUGGGGAAUAUUGCACAAUGGGCGGAAGCCUGAUGCAGAAACGCCGCGUGCGGGAUGACGGCCUUCGGGUUGUAAACCGCUUUCGCCUGUGACGAAGCGUGAGUGACGGUAAUGGGUAAAGAAGCACCGGCUAACUACGUG